UGUUUGGAAUUCGUAUAGUUAGAGCCCGUCACCAAUUGGUAUCGAAAAAGCUUCUGAUGCAAGUUUGUGAAGAUGUUAUUUAAAAUUAUUCUUGCGUUAUUGAGAGCGGAGUCGUCAAGAGCACCGCUUAUAUGAAGUAGUCAUUUCUUCAACAAAUCUCUAGGGUUGUUAUGCCUUAUACUCCUUGCUAUUACCAUUUUAACAGAUUUGUAGGGAACGUGUUCAAUGGCCUAGAGACAAGGAAUGUGUGGCUUGCAACACAUUGCUUAUGUGUGAAGUUCUGCCAAAGCUUCAAGAAGUGACCUCUUACCAGAAAAUUGUACGAGGCGAGAGUUGGUUUUUGGUGUUGUCUAAGUCGUCCGAUAGAGGGGCUCGUUUGGAAAAAGUUAAGGGAUAACUACUGGGAGAGUCGAGUUCCAAGAGUAGCUCCCUCAGGCUGGGAUGUUUCAAUGUUGAUACCCAGGAGCAAAGGCGAAAUGGAGAACUUGAGAUGUAGAAAUUUUACCUUGAGUUAACUUUUUGGACAUGAGGAUUACUACUUUUUCGAAAUUAACUUUUAAUUUAGUUUUAUAAGAGAAAUAAAAUAAAUAUGUUCUAAAACUUUCACAUUGUUGCCAUCACGACCAAAAUAUGGAUGGAAAAAUUAAUUAUAGAAUUCUUCUUACCAACUAUAAUUUUUUUCAUCAUUGCGUGUACAGGCAUGAUAGAUGUAGUGUCCCACCUUAAUGAUCAAAUAAUCUAAAAGGUAUUAGAAGAAAUAAAAGACAGCAGACAAUUGAGGUGUACAGUAAGGUGAUUUAGCAAAUGAAACACCUAAAUUUCGAGAAAUAAUUACUUUCAGAUGUCAUAAAUUAUAUAAUUUUCCCCAAUAUAUGAAAAAAAAAACCUUUCUGAAGGUUUUAAAAUUCAUUUUUAAUAUCAUGUGAUAAGCGCAUUGAUGACAUGUAUAAGCUAAAUUAUUUUACUUAGAUAUUUAAGCUAGACUAAAUUAACAGUGUUAUUCUUUAACAGAAGUCAGUGUAUUAUUUUGAUAAUUUUUUAGUAAAGUGUGUAUUUGAAAAUAUUAUUAUUGGUUUGGCAAACGAUAGAAAAUAUCUAAAAUUAUAGUAAUAUUAACAAUUUGUGAAUUUGGAAGAAAAGUCUUCCUUGUUUUGCUAAGCCAUAACGGGAGUCUAAUAUUGCAAGUUUUGAUUAACUUUCAAAUAUUGGUCGGAUGCCAACAAAUUGUCAAAUUAUUGGAAAAUUUAUUUUUCUAUUCAGAAGUGAAAAUCAACAACAAGAUCGGAUCCAAAUUAUAAUUACAGAUUUAGAAUUACUUUGGAAUGAAAUUAUAGGUUUCUCUCAGACCUUUAGGGCUCUUAUUCGGAAAAAAACUCAAUUGUUUGCUCUCAGUCAUAAAAACUAUAAGAGGCCAUGUGAAAAAUUCAACAUUUCACUAUUUCAGAUAUUCGAUGAACGUGAAUAGAGAAUGAAAAUGCUUGGAAUUAUCAGCACUCUAUCAUAAGCAAAUCAAAAGUGGAUACAAGGUUGGUUAUUCUGCAUUCAAAGAAGCACCUUUAAAGUAAAUGUACCCUAGAAUACGACCCAGACCAACAAUUCAAAAUCAACUUUGUCUUUAUCUCCAUAGUACAAGCAAAAGUAAAGAAGUGCAGAAACCACAGGAGAUUAUAAAGGUUCAAUCUACCUUCAGAAUUCCGAGGUCAAGAAGUGUUUGGAAGAAACAGGAACCAUGAGGUUUAUAAUUGAUAGCUGUAUAGUUCAUAAUCACAUGCAGUAAAGUCAACGGGGGAGUCUUCCUCCUGUAUAUCUUGGAAGUCAGGAUCAUAUCAAAUAUCUAACUGGGUUCACUCUGUUCUAUUUUCAAAUACAAUAAAAUGUACGGGAGAUUAAUCGUUUCCAAAUUCUGUUAUGUCAUGUACAUAUCCCUCAAAAUUCAACAGGAUUAUCUCUGUAGAACUAUCAAGUUCACCAUCAAAUGUAAAGAACUUAUUGAUCAGCUAAUCCUAGGAGCUUAAAUACCCUCUCUCUUUCUCUAUUUUUCAUUAUAUCAACUACAAUCAGUUGUGAAAAGGGAGGUGGGAGAAAAGAAAAUAUACAAGGACAUUGGCAGUUAAUUUUUCGUUUCUGUUCCUUUAAAGAAAUACGGAAAUAACAAACUAUCCUUUCGCAUGAUUUAUUUCAUCACAAUUAUGACUUACUUCCAUUUUAGACAUAAAAUGAUUAUUUUCCUAAAUUCUAAGGCUGGCAACUUGGUUGUAACUACAAUACGCUUAAUAUCCUCCAACUUCAUCUUGAUAAUUUUGCCAUUUUCUGGUACUUGUGUUAAUGGUUUUUUUCUUUAGUAGAAAUUAGAGAUUAACUGGCGGAUUAGGUUAAUUAGGAAGUGCAAAUACCCUCAUAAUCGAUUGAGGUCCUCCCAGAGGCAAACUUCCCUCGUGGCCUUAGGUAAAUUGUGACAGAGAUGUUGCCCUGUCAAUGUAAUUUCCUAAUUUACUGCAAUUUUACCUUUGUUUAUUUAUUUUCAUAGACACGUAUCUUUUAAUAAUUUACUACAAAUGUUCUACUUGAUUUUUGUAUGAUUAGAUUAGAUUCUUAUAAAAGACCAAGCACCACAAUGAUGGCCCGGACGUGUUAUAUAGAAACAGAGGAGGGUUAAAAAACUAUAAAAUUAGAAGAUCCUGCUUUUUUGAAAUUGCUACCUGAAAAGAAUUGUUAUUUACAAAAGCUAUAAUAAUUAUUAUUUUAUUUUUGGAGAUCGAACAAUAAGUAUAUAUGGGAUGUACCAUAAUUUAAUAUAACAAGUCUGACAAUGGGAUCAGCACCACAUAUAUAACAAGCAUAAUGAAUAUUAUAUUAAUUGCCCACCAUAUUUUUUUGGGAUAAAGUAGUAAUGAAGAAACCUCAAAAUAAAAAUAGUACCGUCUUGGAUUGUCACUAUUAUUAGCCAUAAGCGAUUUUUAUCACCUAUAUGUUAUUAAGAACAGUAAUAAAAGCUUAUAACACUA
rnacentral:lncRNA from 1 species